AUGAUUUUCAAGAAAUUAAUAGCUAAUCUUGGAGAGUUCUACCAUGUUGGAUCAAGAGUAAAUACCAGGAGAUAUUUGUGGAAGCUUCUGAGAAGACACAUUGAACAGAAUGGGGUGUUUGCUUCCCUGGAUCAGAAAAGAAUCACAUCGCUUUCUUUCAGUCAUGGCACAGAGUUACAGAGUCACAAGAAAGAAACAACAGAAAGAGAAUGUUUUCUGGUGGAAAGGUGUGUGUCAGACUACACUCCACGGAAGAGAGUUUGUUUGAAGGCAGAACUCAAGGUCCUGAGCAACCAGCUUGGCUAGAAGAAGAUGGAUUUGGAGCCAGGACCAGUGAGCUGCCUCCGAUGAGAGUGACAGACUGUGUAAACAAUGGCAGAGUCUGAAUGACUGUAUUUGGGCUUCUGGGGUGUUGACUGCAGGUGAACAAAUCAAAUGCCUCUUCAAAGAGCUGCCUGAGAAGAGUUGGUGAAUAUCUCCUACUACUGGGGGAGAAACAGACAGCCUUGUGAAUUGCAGCCACUCAAAUGUCACAUAACUUCCACUAGUCAUCCUUCUGUGUAUACCCCUUCCAUCCUCUGGCUCAGUUUCCCCAGGGACUGCAUCUCCAGUCUCCUUUGAGGUGGGAGAAGGGUAGAUAUCAAAUACCUGAGACGGGGAAGGGGUCCUCACCCACUGAUACUCGCUGGUGGUAUACAUACCCCCUUCUUCUUAAAUGCAGUGUUUUAUCUGUUCCAUUAAUAGUGCAAUGGAUUGAAUGUUCGUGCCCGAGUCCCAACUCAUAUGUUGAAAUUCUAAUCCCCCGUGUGAUGGUGUUUGGAGGUGGGGCCUUCAGAUGUAAUUAGGAGUAGUGUCCUUAUAAAAGGGACCCCAGAUUGCUCUUUUGCCCUCUUUCCACCAUGUGCGGAUACAACAAGAAACCAUGGUCUACAACCUCGGAAGAUGGCUCUCACCAGGACCUGACCAUACUGGACUGAUCUGUGACUUCUAGCCUCCAGAACCGUGAGAAAUAAAUGUCUGUUGUUUAUAAGCCCCA
rnacentral:lncRNA from 1 species